AUNGACNGGGGCCCGCACAAGNCGGUGGAGCAUGUGGUUUAAUUCGAAGCAACGCGCAGAACCUUACCAGGACUUGACAUGGGUAGGACUGGCACAGAGAUGUGUNNUCCCCGCAAGGGGCCUACUGCACAGGUGCUGCAUGGCUGUCGUCAGCUCGUGUCGUGAGAUGUUGGGUUAAGUCCCGCAACGAGCGCAACCCUUACCUUUAGUUGCCAUCAUUUAGUUGGGCACUCUAGAGGGACUGCCGNUGACAAGGCCGGAGGAAGGUGGGGAUGACGUCAAGUCCUCAUGGCCCUUAUGUCCUGGGCUACACACGUGCUACAAUGGUGGUGACAGUGGGAAGCUAUGUGGCGACACAAUGCCGAUCUCUAAAAGCCAUCUCAGUUCAGAUUGUACUCUGCAACUCGAGUACAUGAAGGUGGAAUCGCUAGUAAUCGCGGAUCAGCAU
rnacentral:rRNA from 1 species